GACGAACUGUGCGAACGUUGUUCGGAAUCACUGGGCUUAAAGGGUGCGUAGGCGGCCCGUUAAGUCGGGGGUGAAAUACUUCGGCUCAACCGGAGAAUUGCCUUCGAUACUGGCGGGCUGGAGGAAGGUAGGGGUCGCGGGAACUGCCAGUGGAGCGGUGAAAUGCGUUGAUAUUGGCAGGAACGCCGGUGGUGAAGACGCGCGGCUGGACCUUUUCUGACGCUGAUGCACGAAAGCCAGGGGAGCAAACGGGAUUAGAUACCCCGGUAGUCCUGGCCCUAAACGAUGGGUACUAGGUAGUGGGUUCGACACGGACUCGCUGCCGAAGCAAAAGUGUUAAGUACCCCGCCUGGGGAGUAUGGUCGCAAGGCUGAA
rnacentral:rRNA from 1 species